CUCAGGACGAACGCUGGCGGCGUGCCUAAUACAUGCAAGUCGAACGGUCUUUUCUAUGGAAGCUUGCUUCCACUGAGAAGAUAGUGGCGAACGGGUGAGUAACACGUGGGUAACCUGCCCAUAAGAGGGGGGAUAACAUCCGGAAACGGGUGCUAAUACCGCAUAGUUUUCUUGAUCGCAUGAUCGGGAAAGGAAAGACGGCCUUUGUGCUGUCGCUUAUGGAUGGACCCGCGGCGUAUUAGUUAGUUGGUGAGGUAACGGCUCACCAAGACGAUGAUACGUAGCCGACCUGAGAGGGUGAUCGGCCACAUUGGGACUGAGACACGGCCCAAACUCCUACGGGAGGCAGCAGUAGGGAAUCUUCCGCAAUGGACGAAAGUCUGACGGAGCAACGCCGCGUGAGUGAAAGAAGGUUUUCGGAUCGUAAAACUCUGUUGUCAGAGAAGAACAAGUUGGAGAGUAACUGCUCCAGCCUUGACGGUAUCUGACCAGAAAGCCACGGCUAACUACGUGCCAGCCGCCGC
rnacentral:rRNA from 1 species